GACGAACCGAGCGACCGUUGUUCGGAAUCACUGGGCUUAAAGGGCGCGUAGGCGGGUGCUCAAGUCCGGGGUGAAAUCCCACAGCUCAACUGUGGAAUUGCCUCGGAUACUGGGCGUCUCGAGGGUGGCAGGGGUAUGCGGAACUGCGAGUGUAGAGGUGAAAUUCGUAGAUAUUCGCAAGAACACCAGUGGCGAAGGCGGCUCACUGGCCCGGUACUGACGCUGAGGUGCGAAAGCGUGGGGAGCAAACAGG
rnacentral:rRNA from 1 species